rnacentral:rRNA from 1 species
UACGGAGGGAGCUAGCGUUGUUCGGAAUUACUGGGCGUAAAGCGCGCGUAGGCGGCUUUGUAAGUUAGAGGUGAAAGCCCGGGGCUCAACCCCGGAAUUGCCUUUAAGACUGCAUCGCUUGAAUCCGGGAGAGGUGAGUGGAAUUCCGAGUGUAGAGGUGAAAUGCGCAGAUAUCAGGAAGAACACCAAUUGCGAAGGCAGCUCGCUGGGACGUAACUGACGCUGAGACGCGAAAGCGUGGGGAGCAAACAGG